rnacentral:rRNA from 1 species
CUGGUUGAUCCUGCCAGUAGUCAUAUGCRUGUCUCAAAGAUUAAGCCAUGCAUGUCUAAGUAUAAGCAAUUUAUACAGUGAAACUGCGAAUGGCUCAUUAAAUCAGUUAUCGUUUAUUUGAUAGUACCUUACUACUUGGAUAACCGUGGUAAUUCUAGAGCUAAUACAUGCUUAAAAUUCCGACUGUUUGGAAGGGAUGUAUUUAUUAGAUAAAAAAUCAAUGUCUUCGGACUCUUUGAUGAUUCAUAAUAACUUUUCGAAUCGCAUGGCCUUGUGCUGGCGAUGGUUCAUUCAAAUUUCUGCCCUAUCAACUUUCGAUGGUAGGAUAGUGGCCUACCAUGGUUUCAACGGGUAACGGGGAAUAAGGGUUCGAUUCCGGAGAGGGAGCCUGAGAAACGGCUACCACAUCCAAGGAAGGCAGCAGGCGCGCAAAUUACCCAAUCCCGACACGGGGAGGUAGUGACAAUAAAUAACGAUACAGGGCCCUUUCGGGUCUUGUAAUUGGAAUGAGUACAAUGUAAAUACCUUAACGAGGAACAAUUGGAGGGCAAGUCUGGU